CAGCCGCCGCGGGAAUACAGAGGGUGCGAGCGUUAAUCGGAUUUACUGGGCGUAAAGCGUGCGUAGGCGGCUAAUUGAGUCGGAUGUGAAAUCCCUGAGCUUAACUUAGGAAUUGCAUUCGAUACUGGGAAGCUAGAGUAUGGGAGAGGAUGGUAGAAUUCCAGGUGUAGCGGUGAAAUGCGUAGAGAUCUGGAGGAAUACCGAUGGCGAAGGCAGCCAUCUGGCCUAAUACUGACGCUGAGGUACGAAAGCAUGGGGAGCAAACAGGAUUAGAUACCCCCGUAGUCCCUGUCUCUUAUAC
rnacentral:rRNA from 1 species